rnacentral:tRNA from 1 species
GCCUGGGUGGCUCAGUUGGUUGGGUGACUGUCUUCAGCUCAGGUAAUGAUCCUGGAGUCCUGGGAUCGAAUCCCACCUUGGGCU